CCUACGGGAGGCAGCAGUGAGGAAUAUUGGUCAAUGGCCGGAAGGCUGAACCAGCCAUGCCGCGUGAAGGUCAGUGCCCUAUGGGCGUUAAACUUCUUUUGUGUGGGAGCAAUAAUGGUCACGUGUGGCCAGACGAGAGUACCGUACGAAUAAGCAUCGGCUAACUCCGUGCCAGCAGCCGCGGUAAUACGGGGGAUGCAAGCGUUAUCCGGAUUUAUUGGGUUUAAAGGGUGCGUAGGCUGUGAGUUAAGUCAGCGGUUAAAUGCCCUCGCUCAACGGGGUGAAGUGCCAUUGAUACUGCCUUGCUGGAAUGCGGAUGCCGUGGGAGGAAUGUGUGGUGUAGCGGUGAAAUGCAUAGAUAUCACACAGAACACCGAUUGCGAAGGCAUCUCACGAAUCCGCGAUUGACGCUGAUGCACGAAAGCGUGGGUAUCAAACAGGAUUAGAUACCCUAGUAGUC
rnacentral:rRNA from 1 species